rnacentral:rRNA from 1 species
AACAAACGCUGGCGGCGUGCCUAAUACAUGCAAGUCGAACGGGGAAAGCUUUCGGGUGAGUACUAGUGGCGCACGGGUGAGUAACGCGUGGAUAAUCUGCCUUAGAGUGGGGGAUAACUAGUCGAAAGAUUAGCUAAUACCGCAUAAGACCACAAGAACUGCGGUUCAAGAGGUCAAAGGUUUUUCGCUCUAAGAUGAGUCCGCGUAAGAUUAGCUAGUUGGUGAGGUAACGGCUCACCAAGGCAACGAUCUUUAACUGGUCUGAGAGGAUGAUCAGUCCCACUGGAACUGAGACACGGUCCAGCCUCCUACGGGAGGCAGCAGUAGGGAAUAUUGCACAAUGGAGGAAACUCUGAUGCAGCGACGCCGCGUGAGCGAUGAAGGCCUUCGGGUCGUAAAGCUCUGUCGCAGGGGAAUAACACAAUGAAUGUACCCUGUAAGAAAGGAUCGGCUAACUUCGUGCCAGCCGCCGCCGUAAAAC